CUACGGCUGCCAUGUUGAGUGAGGGCAGCCCGACAGGACCUCGGUGGUGCCGCCUUAUGAGGUGGUUUGACUUCUAAUUCUUGAGGGCUAGGGUAACGCUUUUUUGCAUAGGAAAUUGUUUAUCGUAAGAUUUUGCUCCUUUGAAGUUUACGGGGAAGCAGUCUGAUCCUGUAUUUAUGAUCCCAUAAUCCUGUUUUCAAAUCCGUCUCUGGAACAGACGGGGCGAUCACCGUUCCACCUUUCACGUCUCUGUGUGACCAGAGGGUAAACGUCUUGAACUUCAGAGUCUGCAAGCCACCUGAUCCCGGGGGAGUCCCCAGGGCCUGUCUGCGUCCAGCUGAAACCUCAGUUCUUAAGCGUCGGGAUCUGCCAGAGUUCCCUCCUUCAAAGAGUAGGAAUACGAGACCACCCAGAAAUGAGGGCUGAAUACCACGACGUCAACAUUCCCUGUGCUGCUUGCAACCCAUCAGCCAAAGGCUUCUGAAUAGCUCCCUUUCUGAGAAGACCUCAAACACAGGAUAUGUGUGCUUGUGAACGGAGAUCAGGCAGGAUCAGGGAAAGCAGGAGAGAGAUGGACACUUUGGUCUGUAAAUGCAUCAGCUCUUCAUCCUGGAAAGUGAAGUUUUUCUUCUUACUGGCUUCCUUUCCACACAAGCCAGUAUGAGCCAUGCAGCUUUCAGAGGAUACCCUUAGAGACAACAGCCCAGUUCAUCGGCACAGGCGUGAAGAACUGCACACAGAGAAGGAACAGCCUUCCUACUAUGGUUGUGUCCAGAGCCGGCUGUCACUUCUCCACACAGACGAUGGCACCUGAGCCGGUUUGGAAUCUACAGUUCUAACAAGUUCAGCCAAGUUUUGUAAGCUGAAGAUCUCCAUUUAUCUUUAUCGUGUCAAUUGCUGACAGUGUUUCAAUACGGUGGUAAAAAUCAAAGAGCUGAUGUCCAUCCACAAAUAUUCUAAAACGGGGAUGCUCACAAAGUAUCUCAACCUGUAAAAAAUAAAAUGAUGAACCAUGUUCACAACAUAACUGGGAAGAUCUUUCACAGGAUGCAAAGAGCACCUUUAAAGCAGCACUGGUAUGGCUACACAUCUUGCUACUUGCACGCCAUGUAACAGAGAAAGCUGAGCCCACUUUGCCCCCAUGACCCCAGUUCCACUACAAGGGAUCUGCUCUCACUUCUCAGAGAUGUUAAUCCAGUCUCACACUGUCACAGUAGGGAGAAGCCCCAAACCCUGAUGCACAACUCUGCAGAUUAUGGUCCUGCUGGCACCAAGGAGGUUUUCUCUCUGUGAAUAAUGCCAGAAGCAAACUGCUAAUUAAAGGUAUAUCCAACCCAAA